CUGGACUUAAACAGCACUGCUGCAGGAGGGACCCACAGAGCACAAGAGACACCCUUUGGGGAAGGAACUUGAAAAGCUCCUGCUGACUCACACCUUGCCAAGGUGAGGGACACAGGGGCAAGAGUAUGCGGGAAUUUGAAAUCCAAUUUGCACAGGCUUGGGGGGUCCUGGUGACUCAAGUAAUAUUUGUUUGCAGGGGUGCCACUGAGUGUUUUCACAGGCUUGAAGUUCCUACUCAAGAAGAGAGAUUUGGAAUUAACUAGAGGGUUGUUCUAUAGGAGGAGAGGUACUCAGCACCCACACUAUGCUCUAGCGACAGGGCAGGCACGCUCCUGACCCGACGUUCUGUCCUAGGGUGCAAAGGAGAAAUGCAAGACCCCAGCAUCAUUUCUGGGAAAUAGGCGGGGUUCCCGUGCGACCCAGGCGCGGCUGGAGGAAACACAGCAUGUGGAAAUCCCCGAAGGAAAACCACGAGCUGAGGCACCGAGAGAAGCCUCUCUCCAUCCCGCGCCACGCUCCCUCCUUUACCGAGCUGCCUGAGGAACUCCAGGGCUGCAGCAGAUGCCGUGUUCCCCAACAACCUUGUCACGCUCGCCCAGGGAGCAAAACUCUCGCAAGGACUGAGAAACAGAAGUACUGAUAUCCUCUGCUGAAAUUUCCUGUCGAAGCUGCCACCCACCUGUGGUUCAAUAAACACCAGCCACCUCUCA
rnacentral:lncRNA from 1 species